rnacentral:rRNA from 1 species
AAUUGCUAGUAAUGGCAGGUCAGCAUACUGCCGUGAAUACGUUCCCGGGCCUUGUACACACCGCCCGUCACACCAUGAGAGUUGGGAAUACCCGAAGCCUGUGAGCUAACUGUAAGGAGGCAGCAGUCGAAGGUAGAAUCAAUGAUUGGGGUGAAGUCGUAACAAGGUAAC